rnacentral:snRNA from 1 species
GUAUUCACUUCAGUAGCACAUACACUAAAAUUGGAAUGAUACAGAAAAGAUUAGCAUGGCCCCUGCACAAGGAUGACACACAAAUUUGUGAAAUAUUGCACAUUUUU